UACGAAGGGGGCUAGCGUUGCUCGGAAUUACUGGGCGUAAAGCGCACGUAGGCGGCUUUCUAAGUCGGGGGUGAAAUCCUGGAGCUCAACUCCAGAACUGCCUUCGAUACUGGAGAGCUUGAGUCCGGGAGAGGGUGAGUGGAACUGCGAAGUUGUAGAGGUGAAAUUCGAUAGAUAUUCGCAAGAACACCAAGUGGCCGAAGGCGGCUC
rnacentral:rRNA from 1 species